UAAAGAAAGCGUAAUAGCUCACUGGUCGAGUCGGCCUGCGCGGAAGAUGUAACGGGGCUAAACCAUGCACCGAAGCUGCGGCAGCGACGCUGUGCGUUGUUGGGUAGGGGAGCGUUCUGUAAGCCUGCGAAGGUGGCCUGUGAGGGUUGCUGGAGGUAUCAGAAGUGCGAAUGCUGACAUAAGUAACGAUAAAGCGGGUGAAAAGCCCGCUCGCCGGAAGACCAAGGGUUCCUGUCCAACGUUAAUCGGGGCAGG
rnacentral:rRNA from 1 species